rnacentral:rRNA from 1 species
GUAGGUGGCAAGCGUUGUCCGGAAUUAUUGGGCGUAAAGCGCGCGCAGGCGGUUCUUUAAGUCUGAUGUGAAAGCCCACGGCUCAACCGUGGAGGGUCAUUGGAAACUGGAGAACUUGAGUACAGAAGAGGAAAGCGGAAUUCCACGUGUAGCGGUGAAAUGCGUAGAGAUGUGGAGGAACACCAGUGGCGAAGGCGGCUUUCUGGUCUGUAACUGACGCUGAGGCGCGAAAGCGUGGGGGAGCAAACAGGAUUAGAUACCCUGGUAGUCCACGCCGUAAACGAUGAGUGCUAAGUGUUAGGGGGUUUCCGCCCCUUAGUGCUGCAGCUAGCGCAUUAAGCACUCCGCCUGGGAGUACGGCCGCAAGGCUG